rnacentral:rRNA from 1 species
UACGUAGGGUCCAAGCGUUAUCCGGAAUCACUGGGCGUAAAGCGUGCGUAGGCGGAUGUUUAAGUGUAAUGCGAAAUCCUGUGGCUCAACCAUAUGGACUGUAUUGCAUACUGGAUAUCUGGAGGAAUGCAGAGGCAAGUGGAAUUACCGGUGUAGCAGUGAAAUGCGUAGAGAUCGGUAGGAACACCAAUGGCGAAGGCAGCUUGCUGGGCAUUUUCUGACGCUAAGGCACGAAAGCGUGGGGAGCGAACAGG